CUAUCAAUAAUAAAGAAUUAAUUAUUUUUAUUCUUAUCUUUUCAUAACAUGAGGAAGAUUAACAGAAUAUACCAUAAAGUAAAUUUUUUAUAAAUUUUAUGAGUAAGAAUAUAUCCGUUGGGGACCCCGAAAAGAUUGCGAACUAUGGGGUGGCCAGAUCGAAGCCAGAAGAAAUUCUGGUGGAAGAUCGACCUUGGUGCUGACGUGCAAAUCGCUCAUCCGAGCUGCCUAUAGGGGCGAAAGACUAAUCGAGCAAUCUAGUAGCUGGUUUCCUCCGAAGUUUCCCCCAGGAUCGCAGAAUAUUGAAUUUAGUUCAACCAGGUAAAGCGAAUGAUUAGAGGUUACUGGAAAGAAACUUUCUGUACCUAUUCUCAAACUAUUAAUAGGUUGAUAUUAUCUUUUUAUUCUUUCAUUGAUGAGAAGAUAAAAAUAAAAAUAUUCAAGUGGGCC
rnacentral:rRNA from 1 species